AACCUCCGCAAUGUGAGAAAUCGCGACGGGGGGAUCCCAAGUGCCAUUCUUAACGGGAUGGCUUUUCAUUAGUGUAAAGAGCUUUUGGAAUAAGAGCUGGGCAAGACCGGUGCCAGCCGCCGCGGUAACACCGGCAGCUCUAGUGGUAGCUGUUUUUAUUGGGCCUAAAGCGUUCGUAGCCGGUUUGAUAAGUCACUGGUGAAAUCCUGUAGCCUAACUGUGGGAAUUGCUGGUGAUACUGUUGAACUUGAGGUCGGGAGAGGUUAGCGGUACUCCCAGGGUAGAGGUGAAAUUCUGUAAUCCUGGGAGGACCACCUGUGGCGAAGGCGGCUAACUGGAACGAACCUGACGGUGAGGGACGAAAGCUAGGGGCGCGAACCAGAUUAGAUACCCGGGUAGUCCUAGCCGUAAACGAUGCGGACUUGGUGUUGGGAUGGCUUGAGCCGCUCCGGUGCCGAAGGGAAGCUGUUAAGUCCGCCGCCUGGGAAGUACGGUCGCAAGACUGAAACUUAAAGGAAUU
rnacentral:rRNA from 1 species